GUAACAAGGUCUCCGUUGGUGAACCAGCGGAGGGAUCAUUACUGAGUUUACGCUCUACAACCCUUUGUGAACAUACCUAUAACUGUUGCUUCGGCGGGUAGGGUCUCCGUGACCCUCCCGGCCUCCCGCCCCCGGGCGGGUCGGCGCCCGCCGGAGGAUAACCAAACUCUGAUUUAACGACGUUUCUUCUGAGUGGUACAAGCAAAUAAUCAAAACUUUUAACAACGGAUCUCUUGGUUCUGGCAUCGAUGAAGAACGCAGCGAAAUGCGAUAAGUAAUGUGAAUUGCAGAAUUCAGUGAAUCAUCGAAUCUUUGAACGCACAUUGCGCCCGCCAGCAUUCUGGCGGGCAUGCCUGUUCGAGCGUCAUUUCAACCCUCAAGCCCUGCUUGGUGUUGGGGCCCUACGGCUGACGUAGGCCCUCAAAGGUAGUGGCGGACCCUCCCGGAGCCUCCUUUGCGUAGUAACUUUACGUCUCGCACUGGGAUCCGGAGGGACUCUUGCCGUAAAACCCCCAAUUUUCCAAAGGUUGACCUCGGAUCAGGUAGGAAUACCCGCUGAACUUAAGCAUAUCAAUAA
rnacentral:rRNA from 1 species